UGAGGAUUAUGUAGUAACUUAGAACCCUUUUUUAUGACAGGCUUUGCAUGAAAUCUAGUAAGAAUCAUAGAAUAUGAAGCCAGAAACCAUAGUUAAAUUUUAUAAUUCUUUUUCAGAUUAACUGGAAGUGGAAUUUAUAUCUUUCAUUUAAGGAAUUUCUAAAUACAGGAAACUCAAUGCAUUUUACCAUCCAAAAGUGUUUGACAUGCCUAAGGAAAUGGAGCAUGAGGUUAUAUUAUAUAUCGGGAGGCAUCUAGUGGUGUGCUGCAGGGAUGUGGUGCUCUGGACUUGGUUAGCAUCUUUAUCAAUGGCAAUGACAAAAAGGGCAUCCUCAAUGAAUAACUGAAAGAGUUGAAGGAGAGAAGGAAAGAAGGGAGAGUGAAUAGAGAGAACAUUUACUAAAUGUGUAAUUUUCACACACAGUGUUGCAUUUCAC
rnacentral:lncRNA from 10 species